AGCGAACGCUGGCGGCAGGCCUAACACAUGCAAGUCGAACGAAGUCUUCGGACUUAGUGGCGGACGGGUGAGUAACACGUGGGAACGUGCCCUUUGGUAUGGAAUAACUCAGGGAAACUUGAGCUAAUACCGUAUGUGCCCUUCGGGGGAAAGAUUUAUCGCCAUUGGAGCGGCCCGCGUCUGAUUAGCUAGUUGUUGAGGUAAAGGCUCACCAAGGCGACGAUCAGUAGCUGGUCUGAGAGGAUGAUCAGCCACAUUGGGACUGAGACACGGCCCAAACUCCUACGGGAGGCAGCAGUGGGGAAUCUUGCGCAAUGGGCGAAAGCCUGACGCAGCCAUGCCGCGUGAAUGAUGAAGGUCUUAGGAUUGUAAAAUUCUUUCACCGGGGACGAUAAUGACGGUACCCGGAGAAGAAGCCCCGGCUAACUUCGUGCCAGCCGCCGCCGUAAAAC
rnacentral:rRNA from 1 species